AAUGGGGGAAACCCUGACCCAGCAACUCCGCGUGAGGGAUGAAGGCCUUCGGGUCGUAAACCUCUGUCGGGAGGGAAGAAAGCGUCGUCGUGAAUAUCUUCGACGUUUGACGGUACCUCCAAGGGAAGCACCGGCUAACUCCGUGCCAGCAGCCGCGGUAAUACGGAGGGUGCAAGCGUUGUUCGGAAUUAUUGGGCGUAAAGCGGGUGUAGGCGGUUUGGUAAGUCGGAUGUGAAAGCCCUGGGCCCAACCCAGGAACUGCAUUCGAUACUGCUUGACUAGAGUCUCGGAGGGGGUGGCGGAAUUCCCGGUGUAGAGGUGAAAUUCGUAGAUAUCGGGAGGAACACCAGUGGCGAAGGCGGCCACCUGGACGAUGACUGACGCUCAGACCCGAAAGCGUGGGGAGCAAACAGGAUU
rnacentral:rRNA from 1 species